ACAGUCCGCUCGUCUGUAUGGGGCCUAAGUGUAAUUUCUGUCUGUCUGCUGCUUUGUUCCUUUGCUAACAGCAUGAAUCGCUUCAGACAAGUUUUUCUGACACCAAGAGAAAAAUGGUGACAGGAGAGAUCUCCAGCUGAUCGACAGCCUCAGCUCCUGUGUGGAGGGGUUGCUUCCCUUCCCUCCAGUCGGCUGUCAGAACUCUCCUCACUGAGCUCUGGAGAGUGUAGUUUCAGCUCUCUGCCCCCUUUUUUCUGACUGCUCACACAAGCUUUGUAAAUUCUAGACUUUAAACAGAUGUAGAGAUCAGGAGACUGCAGAUAAACGGGUACAACCUAUGUAGGCGGGUUUGUUUCAUGUCUGUGUAUUACCUGAGGCUAAUCACUUGACUGGGUAUAUGGGAGGGUUAACAACCACUUUAACGGUCUAAUGAAAUGGCACGGAGAACACACUGCAGGUCCAUAAAAUGUAUUACUGCUAUAGAAUGGAGGAUACCAGUUUUAUUUUAUGUCUGACCUCUUUAGCCCUGACUAAUACAAGUACAGCAGGCUAUUGUACACGGCUUUCUACUUUAUGUAUUGCCACUUGAUGCUUCUUUUUCUUCAGAUUUGUAUCUUCUACUUUCCUUCUAGUGCAGUAUAGAUGGCUGUGUCUCUAGCCGGGAGCUCCAUGAACAAUGCUUGGCCUGGUUGGUGAGUGAGCCAGUGUUUUGUGUAUAGCUGGAGAGAGAUCUUAUAUUCUGUGCCAAGCUUUUCCAGAAUGCAACCAAACCUCUGUCCUUUCCAAGAGCCCUUUUCUCUGUUACACUUGUAUAUGCAAAAGAAUACUUGAAAAUAAAUAUUUAAUGUAAAUACAA